UGCCCUCUGCAUCAGGCAUACCAGCUGGCUUUUGGGGAGGCAGGGGCAGGAGAAAAUAGAAGCAGAAGGGUGUAUUUUAACAGGCCUGGUCACCUUCCACACAGCCUCCAGCUUCAGUUGUGUGCACCCCUGCCCUUCUCCUUCCCCCUUCUAUCAGUUCCUCCUGAGCAAGCACCGAUGUGCAGCCUUCCCUUUGCUUAUGACAAGAGCGAGUCCAUAGAUACUCGCUGCCUGGGCACUGGCUACCCUCCACAUUGUAAAAUGUCUAAGUCUAUUUUUGUUAGGUGUCUGCCAUCCUGUCAGCUAUCAAAUACCUAUUGGAGUGUGAUGAAUAAGGGUUUAGAGAAUUGUGAAGGUAAGGGAGCAGUGAGGGUGAAAGAAAAACAAUGCGUCUCUUUUAAACUUGACUAGCAACUCGGGAUUUGUAUAAUUAUGGUGUUCAACCAGCAAAAUAACACCGCUCCAGGAAUUAAUUUUACCUUGAAAUAACAGAAGUGACUUGUAGGUGCUGUCAGAGGAAUGGCUGGAGCUAACCUUGUUGCAGAACCAUGUCCAAAAAUUGUUUAAAGAGUAUUUAAAGAACUG